rnacentral:rRNA from 1 species
GUCUGACGGAGCACGCCGCGUGAGCGAUGAAGGCCUUCGGGUCGUAAAGCUCUGUUGUUAGGGAAGAACAAGUACCGUUCUAACUGGGCGGACCUUUGCCGGACCCUAACCAAAAACCACCGGUAAAUACCUGGCCGCCGCCCCCGUUAUACCUAAGUGGGCAGCGUUUUCCCGAAUUAUUGGGCGUUAAGCGCCCGCCAGGCGGUUCUUUAGUUCGAAUGUGAAACCCCCCGGUUCACCCGGGAAGGGCAUUGGAAAAUGGGGGACUUGAAUUGCAAAAAAGAAAAGGGAAUUUCCCCUGGUACGGUGAAAUGCCUUAAAAUUUGGAAGAACCCCCGUGGGCAAAGGCGGUUUUUGGGUCGGAACUUGACCUUAAGGCCCAAAACCUGGGGAAGCAAACGGAAUAAAAUCCCUGGGAAUCCACCCCCUAAACCAUUAAUGGCUAAUGGUUGGGGGGU